rnacentral:lncRNA from 1 species
GUAUGCAGGGAGUUCCAGCGAGGAAACUGUGCCCGGGGAGAGACAGACUGCCGCUUUGCACACCCGGCAGACAGCACCAUGAUCGACACAAACGACAACACCGUAACCGUUUGUAUGGAUUACAUAAAGGGGCGUUGCAUGAGGGGAGAAAUGCAAAUAUUUUCACCCUCCUGCACACUUGCAGGCCAAAAUCAAAGCUGCGCAGCACCAAGCCAACCAGGCCGCGGUGGCCGCCCAGGCAGCCGCGGCCGCGGCCACAGUCAUGGCCUUCCCUCCCGGUGCUCUUCACCCUUUACCAAAGAGACAAGCACUUGAAAAAAGCAACGGAGCCAGCACGGUCUUCAACCCCAGCGUCUUGCACUACCAGCAGGCUUUGACCAGUGCGCAGUUGCAGCAACACACGGCGUUCAUUCCCACAGAUAAUUCUGAAAUAAUCAACAGAAAUGGAAUGGAAUGCCAAGAAUCUGCAUUGAGAAUAACUAAACAUUGUUACUGUACAUACUAUCCCCUUUGCUCCUCAAUAGAAUUGCCACAAACUGCAUGCUAAAUUUAGUUCUUCCGGACAGACCGCAACCCUAAGGCUAGUUCUGCUAUGUCAUAUACGAGUAUUAAAUAUGGUAUGCUUAGUAUAUUCCAGCCUAAGAUAGUUAACUACCUGAGACCAGCUGCGAUGUUCAAAGACAUACAGGAUGAGGUUUUCUUUUACAGGGUUCUGAGCGUAGUUUCUGUCCCAGGAAUAUUGUCUUAUCUCCAUAACUAUAGCCGAUGCAGAAAGCCCACCCAGUAUACACAUUUCGACUCAGAAUACUUCAAAUUUAGCAAUAAGCAGUUAGCUUUAGUUUAAGUACCUAUUCCAAGGGCAGGUUCGAUUCUAAUUCCAAUCACCACCAUUUCAUUUCCUGACUGGAUCAUAAGGGUAUGAUUUCACUUCCUGAGGAGACGGACACUCGAAGCAGGAGACGGGAAGUGAAGUAAAACACGCACCUGCCUCGCAGGUCUAAAAUCUGAGUGGCAGUUCAAGCACAGUUGCCGGGGACACAUCAAGAGUGUGGGGUUCGCUUUGCCAGGAGAUGCCACACUGAAUCAUGGGAUUCUAGAAUAACAUUGCAUAGAUCGAAAAAAAAAAAAAAAAAAAC